UUUUGAAGUGCAACUCCAGCAAAAUAUGUGCAUGUGUGUGUGUGUGUGUUACCAGAGAAGUGUUCUCUCUAAGAAUCUCUAGGUUCUCUGGGUCCCCAACUAGAAAAUCUCAUUAUCUCCUGAUUGAAUAAUAACCAUAAUGAUUUUAGGAAAAAUGCGUUCAAAAUAGAUAUAUAAGUAAAAUUCAUUUUGCUAAUAUAAGAGGAAGUCAAUAGCAAAGAAGCAAGAAAAGACAAAGAAGCCAGGAAAAUAAGAAAUUUCAGCAAGAUAUAUGUAAAAAGAUCUUAUUUUCAUAGUGUGUGUUAGAAUGGGUUAUACUUUAUUAGUCCAACACCAAAGCUACAAAACAGUGUGCAUAUUUUUGAGUGUAUCAGGACUCUUACCCAGGCAGAUUGUGAACAAAGCCAACAAAGGAAAGGGACAAACAGUGGUUGAUGUUGAAGCCAUGUGCAUUUAGUCACAGCCUUAAGACAGAAUGUAGGGCAUGUUGCAAAUAUUAGGAUUUGAGUGUUCCUGGUUUGUGAUGGUUUCAGAUUGUACCUAGAGCUGUUCCAAGGGUUGCAGGGAUGAAGAAAUCAAUAGUGUUUGAACAUCGAUUUUUAAAAAUGUAAAAUUUGGUUAUAAUCCAGAAUGAUCUCCUCUUUUGGGUGAAACACAGGUUCCCUGGUGGUUAGAAAAUAGAAAGUGAAAGAAACAAGAUUGCUUUUGUGUAUGAUGUCAUUUACAGUGACUGGGGAAAUGCAUGCAAAUAAAACAAUUUGAAAAUUGCUUUGCUGGUAACUGACCAGCAGGUGUCAUCUAAAAAUCACAAUGACAAGUACAGGAGUGUUCAACAAAGAGGGUUUUCUUUCAUUCAUGCCAAUAUAAGUGCAAUCAGCCGUCUACAUUCCCUCCAUUAUCUGGCAGAAUUUGACCAUAGAGUCACAUUGGAGGAUCUAGAGAUCCCUAAAGAAAAAAUCUGUAAGUAAUCAAAUCUGCAAAAAUCAAAACCAUUUCAGCUUCUUUUGACUGCCCCAGUUUCUUUCUCCUGGUUUCCCUUGUUCCUCCCCCCCCCUUUGUUCAGUCUGAGUUCAAAGUACAAAAAUAGUUUGCACUCAGCAAGGGGAGAGAAGAGAAUCAUAGACGUAUAGAGUUGGAAGGAACCUAAUGGACCAUUGAGCCCAAUCCCCAGCUCAGAUCUCCAGCUAAAGCAUCCACAGCAGCAGGAUCCAAUGUCUGGUUGAGGAUAUCCAGAGGAGAGCCCACCAUUUCUUGGAGGGGCAAAAUCUUGCUUUUCCCGGGGCAAUGUUUUGUAGUGGCUUGAAGGGCCGGUCCCAGAAAGUAGUGCUGGGAGUCUCCUGUUCAAACCCUUGGCCUUUGUCCUGUGGGGUUCCUCAGAGGUCACUUCUAUUCUCCCAUGCUUUUUGACAUCUACAUAAAGCUGCUGGAGUCUUGAAACCAGUUUCAUCAGGCCUCUUUGGCAACUGGAAGACUGCCUGCACCAGCUGUUUCUCCUGCUCCUGGACAAUAUUCAACAUCUUCAUUAUCCACUUGGUGGAUAAUCAUACUCAGACAACGAAUGAUUGCCUAAAGUACCUACACAGGCAGGCCUGGAAGUUGGAAUGAUGGCCAAAAAGAUCUGCAGAUCCAAGGAAUAUUUCUCUCUACCUCCUCCAGUAGGAUACACUGAUAAGAAGCAGCCUAUCCAAUGAGAAAGGGAAAAUGAGCAUUCCACUGUGGCUUCCUCUCCAGUGGGAAGUGUUUGUUUAGUUUACCUUCUCGUUGUACUGUGUAUCCAGUUUAUUACCCUGAAUGUUUUAGUGCUAACCCUGUCCUCACAAGCACUCUGAAUGUUGGUCUUAGGUUCUAGCUCUCCAUGGGAUAUACGUUAACUGAGUGCAGUGGAUUUUAUGGUUCAAACUAAAUUUUCCUGUAAGUUUUUUAAAUACACUGUUUUUGGCAGAAUGAAUAUGUAUGUUUUGUAGACACCCCAACAUUAGGCUGUCUUUAGAUUGGAUUUUAGUGCUUGUAUAGAAGGGUUUUGACAAGGCAUUGAGUGCAUCUACAUUAUAAAAUUAAUAGAGUUUGAUACUACUUUAACUGCCAUGGCUCAAUGCUAUGAGACAAAAGUCUUCUCUGCCAAAGGGCGUUAGUGCCUCACCAAACCACAAUUCCCAGGAUUUCAAGCAUUGAUCCAUUACUGUCAAAAUUGUGCCAAACUGUAUUAUCUCUACCAUGUAGAUGUACCCUAAGAUUCCAUUCUUAGUGUAUGCAAGGAAAAAAUGGGAGCUGAAACAAGGAUUUCUCAGAUAAGUUUUUCUAUUUAGCAAUUAUGCUACAUCAUUAUUUUCUUAGAGGAUCAAGCCAGAACCUAAAAACCUCAAACAGAGACAAUUGGGGCUCUUUGGUUUUGCUUGUUCGUGUUUUAGGUCAACCCUUAUAUUGUUUUUCUGCUUCUAACAUUUUGUAUUCUGAAAAUUAUAAAAUCCUAUUUUAAUUGGUAUAAAGACAUACUAAUAUUGGGAUUGUUUUUCAUUUGCCUGCAACAGUGUAUGUGCCAUGAAUGAGAAGUAAUUUUUGUUUACUUUUUUUGUUCAGAGAGACUGCAAGAAUAAUUGUCUCUUUUGCUGUGCCCUGUGAAGCACAGCAAAGCUUCUGUUAUGCUUUGUUCUCACUGUUUCUGAUGGAUCAUUUUAGAAUUGUGGUUGCUUCCAUUUAUCAGAUUCACCAAUGUAAUAAAGAUAUGGUACCUGGAUUCUUCACAAGAAACCACACUGGAUUACAAUUCCCAUAAUCCCCAGCCAGCACAAAUUGGAAAAUUUACUUUUAGAAAGUGCUAAUCUAAAAUAUUCCGGGAAACCACACUAGCUUUCCACACUAAUUCCAAUACACAUGCUCAGACAUGUGACUGUAUAGAUAUGCUCUACAACAAUGCUGAUACAUGCCCUGAACUCAUCUAACCUACAGUUGGCUUUCCUCAUUUGCAACUUUCACUUUCGCAGAUUUUAUUUUCAAUGGAUUUGAUUAACAGAUUCUCUCUAGUAAUGUCUAGGUCCUCCAUUAUGACUCCAUGGUUAACUUCUGCCAGAUGUUGACCAUACAAUUUUGCUGAACGAUCUAGAGAUCCCUAGAAAGAAUACGUCUGUGUAGUCAACUUCUGUCAGAUAUUGACCAUAAAGUUGUACUAGAGGUCCUUGAGUUUCCAGAGGGGUGGUAUCUGAAGUUUAAAAGCAUUUUUAUCUAUUCUAUUUCCACUUUUCUAGGAAGCCCUGCGCCUCUAAUCUGAUCUAGGCAGGGUCAACUGUGGUGACCAAUUGGAUAGGAGACAAUUAAGGAGCUUCAGAAGGGGCUGAGUUCUGUCUAAAUUUGUAAGAAUGUUUCAACAGUGGAAUAAGAUUGCCUCAGAGGACUCUGGACCCUCCUUCUUUGGAAAUCUUUAAAACAGAGUUGGAUGAGCAUCUUUUGGGGAUGCUUUGAUUGAGUUUUCUGCAUGGCAGGGUGCUGAACUAGAUGUUCCUUGUGGUCCUUCCAUUUCUAUGUUUCUUUGAAAAUCCUGGAGAACAUUCUGCUAGUCCAUAUUGAGUUAAAUCGACCCAAUGGUCUGAUUUGUGCGAAGGCUAUAACAUCUUUCAGACAGACAGCCUCGAUCAGAAAUUGUUUCUGGAACAAUACAGAUCUCUACAGAAGAGUUAAAAAAUCUUUGGCUAUAGGAACAAAGGAAGGAAUUGCUUUGACUGGCAGUCAGCUGCUUUUGAGGUAUAGAUGUUUCUCAUUGUGGCUUGCAAGAAUUUCAAUUUGGAACUUUCUGCAUGCACUCUAAAUUUAUGGUACCUUUCCAACCUAAUGAAAUGAAAAUGAAAGCCGGUCGAUAUUCUCUAGAAUAUGUGCAGUUUUCCUACAGUCUGGCAUAGGUUGUGCCAAUAAGGGACACCAUAUUCUGACAUGGUUCCCAAGGCCUUAAUAGUUACAUGAGAAGCAUAAAUCCAAAAGAACCGCUUUUCUUGUCAUUCAUAACUUGCACCUGUUGAAACAGAGUUUCUUUAUCGAACAAUUCCUGCACCAAAUCUUCCAUCCAAAUAGAGUAUUUUUCGAAACAUUUUACAGCUGCUAUGAGACAACCAGGGGCAUAAACGAACAGAAGCAAAGGCAACCAAUAUAUAUUUGCCAGAAGGCUGUCAGAAGUUGCCAAAGGGGAAGAGGUGCAGGAGGUGUCAAUCCAAGUAUGAAAUUUAAUUCUUAGAGGAUAGCCAGAAUCUGUUCACCUCCUGGAAAAAUUAUGGCAAGUCAAAGUCAUAACAAUUGCCACCUCUUAAUUUGUGCUUUAUUGUAAGCCAAAGCCGUUCUAAUCUUUUCUUUUCAAGUUCUGAUCCUUUGGUUUUAAUAAUAAAAAAGAGGAUGAGAGGAGAGGAUGACCUGGGCUCUUUUGAUAUUUCAGAAACUGGCUCUGGGUGUACCAGAUAGCCUCAUUUCAUAUUGUGAUAUGGAGGUUUUAAACACUUUGCCUCCAAGGGCGCAUCUGCAUAGAAUAAUCAAUGCAGUUUGAUACCACUUUAACUGCCCUGACUCAGUGCUAUAGACUCAUGAGUGUUGUUGUUUUACAAAGGACUUUAGCCUCCUCUGCUAAAGAAUACUGAUGCCUCACCAAAUUAUGAACCCCAGGAUUCAAUAGUAUUGAGCUAUAGCAGUUGAAGUGAUGUCACACUGCACUAAUUAUUUUUUAAAAUUGGUGUUAAGGCUGAAGGCAAUAGGAAUCUCAUUAAGGGGGGAAAGUGUGACAAUAUCUUUGUCAGCAGCUGCAAUGUAUUUAUGCAUUUUUUGAAAUGGCGGUCCACAACUGAAAGGACUAAUACAGUAUUAUUCCCAUUGUCCCAGCUUGGAUUCAGGAUGAUAAGAUUGUCAACUCUUCUGUAAACACAUUAUCAGCAAAAAUAAAAUAAAAUAAGACCACACAUACAAGCUUUAUCAUAGAGUUCAACACCACUGAACUGAAAGCCAGAAAAUGGCAUUUUCUCCAGUAUUUUGUUAUUAUGGAGCCAGCAUGGUGCAGUGGUUGAGUGCUUGACCAUGAACCAGGAGACAGAAGUUUGAAUCCUUGAUCAGUUAUGGAAACCCAGUAUUUGUCCUUGAAUAAGUCACAUUUUCUCAUCCUCAGAGGAAGACAAAGUUAAACCUCCUCCAAACAAAACUUAUCAAGAAAACCAGCUUCAGAAUCUCCAUAAGUCAGAAAUGGCUUGAAGGCACAUAACAAUUUUAAUAUCAUUUAUGUAUGUAAUGGCAUCACUAUACAUGAUGCUUUAUAAGUAAAAGAACAUGGUUCUGUGAUUCUAAUAUAAAAACAGUUCCCUGCCCUCAAGAUGACAUUCAAAAUCUAAUAUAAACUUAGAAGUUUAAUUCUCUAUUGAGACUGAAGAUUAGAAAACCAAAUAAAACAUCCCCUGACCCAAUGAGAAAAUAAUCCCCUCAUUGUCUCAGAAAAUAAUAAAAAAUAAUCACCAAAAAAGAGGGCAGAGACAUGCCUAAAAUUUGCAUGAGUUAAAUUAGAUGUACAAGGAAUUGGUAACUGAAAGAGAAAUGCUACAUUGUAGAGCAGGGGUCCCCAAACUAAGGCCCGGGGGCCGGAUGCUGCCCUCCAAGGUCAUUUACCUGGCCCCUGCCCUCAGUUUUAUAAUAUAAUAUUUUUUAUAUCAGUUUUAAUAAUAUAAUAUAUUGUAUAUACAUAUAAUAUUGAUAAUAAUAUUAUGUUAUACAAUAUAAUACUAAUAAUACCACAUAAUAAUAUUAAUUAUAUGUUAUAUAUUACAUAUAAUAUGACAGUAUAGUGGUAUAGUUCAAUAUAGUAAUAUAUAAUGCUAAUAUUGUGCUAUGCUAAUAAUAUAAUAUAUUGUAUGUACAUACAGCUGCUCUGAGUCCCCUUCAGGGUGAGAAGGGCGGGAUAUAAAUGUAGUAAAUAAAUGUAGUAAAUGAAUAAAUAAAUAAUUUUUGACUUAGGCUCGCCCAAAGUCUGAUAUGACUUGAAGCACACAACAACAACAAUCCUAAUUAACUUGACUAUCUCAUUGGCUAGAAGCAGGCCCACACUUCCCAUUGAAAUCCUGAUAGGCUUAUGUUGGUUAAAAUUGUUUUCAUUUUUAAAUAUUGUAUUGUUCUUUCAUUGUUGUUGUUGUUGUUGUUGUUGUUUUGCAUUACAAAUAAGACAUUUGCAGUGUGCAUAGAAAUUUGUUGGAUUUUUUUUUCCAAAUGAUAAUUCGGCCCCUCAACAGUCUUAAGGAUUGUGGACCGGCCCUCUGCUUUAAAAGUUUGAGGACCCCUGUUGUAGAGAAACCUGUAACCAAGUGAUGUGGACCUGCUCAAUCUGAUACUCAGGUCAGAAUUGCUAACAGGCAACCGUCAGUAGGUCUUUCUCUUACUAUGAUAUGUUUUUAAGUCUUUCUACUAGAUGUAAACUGGGCAGCCCAUUAAACAGAGGAUAGCUUCCUCCCAUCCUCCCCCUGUUCUCUUUCCCUGUUGUCUCUUGCAGAUUUAUUUUCAUUGGGAUGCGCUGUGUUUUUAUUAUUACUAUAUUUUAACUGCCUUUUGAAUCUGUUUUAAAGUAGUGUUUCUCUUAUGAUUGUUCAGGUCCUCCCCCACUUGAUUAAUUUAUUGAUUAAUUCUUGGAUGGAGAGAUGGGUGUGUGGUCUCUCUUUUGACAGCCAGUCAAAAGAGGAGGAUUCCCCCUCCUCUUUAUAAAGCAGAACAUUUGGCCAAGCUGUAGAACAUAUGAUAAAUGUUUUUUCUUCUUCUUCUGUAUGAGAGUUGUAAAUGUUUAAACAUUUUUUGUUAUAUUAAAGUGAAAAGAAGCCCUAGCCUUUAUCAGAUAUCAACGUCUUGGCUACUUUUAUCAGAAAUUAACAUCUUGUAUUAACAAGUCUUCAGGCUAUGUAACAUACCUCCAUGUCAAAAGACUAUUAUCUAGUGAGUUUCUUCUUCUGUGGUGACUGGUGACUAUCAGGGCUAAUGGAAUGAAGGCAAGGAACAUAAUUGUCAGGACCGGUAAGAAUAACAGGGGACAGAACUGACAGUAGAUGGAACCAGGCAUAGACAGAAGGCAUUUCCCCAAAACACAGGCCCCUUCUACACUGCCAUAUGAAAUCCAGAUUAUCUUAUUUGAACUGGAUUAUAUGGCAAUAUAGACUCACAUAAUCCAGUUCAAAGCAGAUAAUGUAUAUUAUCUCUGAUUUGAUCAUAUGGAAUUUAUGGCAGUGUAGAAGGGGCCACAAUUUUAAGAUUAAGCACACACAUUCAAAAGCCCUAGACUGAAAUCAGUUUGGAUGAUUGCAAUCACAGCAGGGUAAAAUUGCAGUCUGAGGUGUGCAUUUCCACUGGCUCUCCCAACCCAAAUGAACACCCUGAGCCAUUAGCUCCAGUUUUGCAUGGCCUGGUUCUUCCCAACUUUGGUAAGAAGGAUCAAAUAGCAUGGGAUACCAAGUGACAUACAUGCCAUUGGCUACACUGGCUAUGGCUCAUGGGAGUUUAGGUCUGUGUCCCUUUCUGUCUCUUUGGUAGCUAUUAUCUAACCCUUUGUGCUCCAUCUUAAAUGUUCCUCAAGAGCUGUCAAGUCCUAGGAUGGGUCACUUUUGUUGCUGCUAGUGCUUACAGUACAGAGAGGAUUUGUUGGGGAAGCAAUUCCAACAGUGAGGAUGCAGUGGCUUGGGCCUGCGAGGAGAGUAAGGAACGAUGCACUCCAUAUCUGAGCAUGUCCCCAUUUCUUCAUUUCCCUCUCAGAACUGAGGUCAGCUGCUUCUCUAUAAUCUCCUUCCCAUCAAUGAGCAGCAGUAGCAGGGAUAUCUAAAGAAUUCAAAGCAGUAUACACACUUGUUCCUAUCCCUUUUUAUGCUCAAAAUAAUUCUUUGAGCUAGGUAAGUGAAAAAAAUGACAAUUGCUCUAAGGUUACCCAAUGAGCUUCAUGGACAAGUAGGAAGUUGCAUCUGAGCAUCCCCAGACUUUGCCCAACACUCUAACCCAGGCAUGGGAAAACUUCAGCUCUCCAGGUGUUUUGGACUUCAACUCCUACAGUUCCUAACAGCCAGUAAACUGGCUGGGAUUUCUAAAAGUUGAAGUUCAAAACACCUGGAGGGUGAAGUUUGCUCAUGCCUGCUCCAACCACUGUCCCACACUUUUUGUCUUUCCUUUUUUGGUGUGCUCCCCUCUCCCUGCCUUUUGCAACAUUUGAAAAGCUUGAACACAAUGUUGUGCUUUCUUAUUUAUUUAUUUAUUUAUUAUUACAGGAUUUCUACCCUGCCCUUCUCACCCAGUACGGGACUCAGGGUGGCUUACAAUAUAAAACACAUAUAUAAACAGUUACAGUAAUAUUUCAACUUGAUUUAAAAUUAGAUUACAUUAAAAACAUUCAUAAAUACACAUAUAAGUGAAUAUUAAGGCGCUUUCCGAGUCCAAAACCGGGUCUGUAAAUUUCAUCCUGAGCCAUAUGUUAUAAUUAAUAAUGCCACUAUUGAUUGAAAGCCUAGUCCCACAGCCAAGUCUUAACUUUUUUACUAAAGGAAAGGAGGGAGGAAGCCUGCUUGAUUUUACCUGGGAGGGCAUUCUUGUCUGUUAGUUUGUCGUCAUUAAGGCAUUAUCCUAAUAAGAAGUUUAGAUUCUGGAACAUGGAAUAGAUUAUCCCAAUACCUUCCAUUUUAAAAGGAACUUUCAUUAAAAGAAACUCACUUGAAGAGAUUGUUCCUGUACCUUCCAUUUAAAAGGAUCUCUGACGUAAAGAGACCCACUUGAUAUAUUCCCCCCCCCCUUUAUCUUCUAUGUGCAAACUAGCUGACUCAUUGCUUUUAACAGAAGAGAGUUCUCAUAUGUGCAUCAACAGGGAAUGAAAUCAAUACCCCUUAUUUAGCCAAAGUGCUGAGUGGGCCCAAGUCAUUAAUAGUAUGCAAAGGAGAAAGCAGCUUCUCUUAGCAGAUAGACACAUUGCUUUUGCAGAGCUUUCCCCCCAUUUCUUUAACAUGAAAGGAGAUAUGAAGAAUGACUAAGAAGUGGUUUUGGGGAGAGAGAUAGAAGAAAAAGAAAUAGUGGAGCAACAAAUGUAACCUCAGGUUAAACUGGAACACAUGCCUCAAGGUGUUCAAAAGAUAGUAGUUUUAUCAGUUUAAAAAUAAGUCUUAGGCAUUUAGGCCUAUGUGCAUUCCCAAGACGUUCUCAGAUAUUAUUUAGAAUCAACUUUCAGAAAUUUUUGGACCAGGAACCAAGGACUCUCAAACCAUUUACUUGGUUUGAGAGUCCCUGAAAAAGAUCUGUGAAAUAUAUACGUACCCUCCAAAGUUUCCACAGAUGAAAUGGGGCCACAUGUGCCAGGUCUUUUUACCAUCUCAGGUUAAUUGCACCUACUGGGAAACUUCUCCUCCUUGUUGAAUAAACUGAGUGCAAACUACAUUUUCACUCUGAACUAUAUACCUUAAAAUUAAUGGCAUCUGACACCACUUUAACUGCUACGCCUCAAUGCUAUAGAAUCCUGAGAGUUGUCGUUUGGUGAAACUCCAGCACUCUAGCAGAGAAGGUGAAAUACCUUGUAAAACUACAGCUCCCAUAAUUCCACAGCAUUGAGCCAUGGCAGUUAAAGUGGUGUCAAACUUCAUUAAUUCUACAAUGAAGACGCACCCUUAAUUUCCAGCAAUUGAAGUAGGCUGGGGACAAAUAGGAAAGGAGGAGAAAGAAACUAGGACAUUUCAGCUAAGAAAAUAGGACAACAAGAUAAUUCAGGAGUACAGUAUAUCUAACAAAUCAGGACAGUUAGAGGGGAUGUAUUAGGGAACUUGUUUCCAAAAGGUACCAAUGCAUCUGAACAAAUGUAUAGGAAUUUUUUAAAAGUGCCAAGGAUGUGCUUUCUUUUGCUAUAAAAUGGAGUUGUGCUCUCAGGAAACACAGGAAUAGCAAAACAAAACACAGAAAUAGCAAAACAGGAAAAUGUCACUGUCCUGAAAAGCUUUCUAUAUUCCUACCUAUCAACUAACAAACAAAUAAAAAAACCCAAAGCUAUCUCUGUAAGGUAUUUUUUGCAGUGUGAUAUGAAUUACUUAAAUUGUUAGAGAUAUUCUGUUUCUGAUUGAUGGGCAAAGAUGUUUCCCACCAAUGACAAAUCUCAUCCAAAUUUGAUACACAUACCCAACAUAACCAAUUUAAAAUGAUGAUGGGGUUUGGGGAGAAUUGCUGUUAGAGUUCAUCCACAUCUAGAGAGCACUGUGAACCCAUCCAAUGAUGGAUUUGGGCCACACUUAGCACGCAGACCCAUCAUGAACAACAGAAAAUACUGGAGGGGUUUCAAGGAGAUUGUCCCUGGAUUUUAGGAGUUAUAGUUCACCCCACAUCCAGAGAGCCCUGUGACUCCCACCCACAAUGCAUCUCGACCAGACUUGGCACACAUACUUAACAUGGUCAACUAUGAAUACUGGAGGUUUUGGGAGGGAUUGACCCACGAUAUUGGGAGUUCACCCGCAAUCAAAGAGCACUCUGAAUCCAACCACCAAUGGAUCUGGACCAAACUUGGCACACAUACUCAACAUGACCAACUUUGAAUAUUGCAGAGUUUGAGGGGAAUAGACCAAUGAUAUUGGACAUUGUAGUUCACCCACAUCCUUACGCAUUUUCUAGUGAGACCAUUCAUAAAAACAAAUGCAAACUGAGUAUAUCAUAUACAUAACAAGCAAUGGGUAUUUAUUUUUAGAUAGCAUCACCAGGUACAUAAGCUAGUGGUUAAUAAUUUACACCUUACAGCAUUUCUUAGCAUCCUGGGUAUACAAGAGUUUUCUGGGGGGUUCAUCCUUGCACCCAUGUGGAUUCACAAUCUAGCGAAAUGAAAGGAGCACAAGUUAAAGUUUCACAGAGAAUAGCAGAACAACAAUAAGAAUAGCGAACAUUAUUUCGAAAGAACACCAAACAUGACACAGACAUUCAUCUCCCCUCUACUGUAAGAUUGCUGGAAACUACCCAGUUCUUGACAGUCAACUUGAUCCUCUGUCUGGAAGUUGAAUAAUAAAAUUAUCUUCAAUAAAAUGUUGGUAUUAAAAUGCUUUCAUAUAUUACAGAGAAGAGGGAAGAUGUUAUAACACAUUUAAUUAGUCUUACCCGACAAUAAAAAUAGCAUUGCUUGGAUUAUGCAAAGAUAUCAUUAAGUGAAAUAUAGAAUCUAAUUAUUAUACUAACCUUUAUCGAUAAGACAUAAUUUCACCAAGUAUUAGUUUCUAUCUAAGCCAAUGUUUCUCUGUGUAAUCUUUCCUUAGUUGUAUAAAGUAUUAAUAGGCACAUAGUCCUGAUUCCACAGUUGAAAAAUAAACUAUAUGAAGCAAACGCAGGGUUAUGCACCACAAGUGAUAGAGUUGCUGAGGCACAAAUGUCAAUGUCACUGAAAGAGAAAGAUGAAAUUAAGCACAAUUACAUCCACCAGCAGAAUCCAGUUCAAAAUCUGACCUGAAAACCACUUGCUUGGAAGCAGCAAUGAUAGGAAAACCCUAUUAUUAUUAUUAUUAUUAUUAUUAUUAUUAUUAUUAUUAUUAUUAUUAUUGUAUGACACAGAAACAAGAUAAAUAUGCUGGAUUUCGUUUCACAAAAUCACAAGUCGAACACUUCCCAAGUGUCUAGGACUGUGUGAUGUAUUUUCGGAUGAUGCGUGCAGAUCCCAGCAGGGUGGCCUUUUUCAGUUGACAGAUCGUAAUUUUGUCAAUGUCUGUUGUUUCCAAAUGCCGGCUGAGAUCUUUUGGCAUGGCACCCAGUGUGCCCAUCACCACUGGGACCACCUGCACUGGUUUCUGCCAGAGUCUUUGAAAUUCAAUCUUGAGGUCCUGAUAGUGGCUGAGUUUUUCCUGUUGUUUUUCAUCAAUGCGACUGUCACCUGGGAUGGCGACAUCAAUGAUCCAAACCACCACCACCUCCUCCUCCUCCUUCUUCUUCUUCUUCUUCUUCUUCUUCUUCUUCUUCUUCUUCUUCUUCGUAUUAUUAUUAUUAUUAUUAUUAUUAUUAUUAUUAUUAUUAUUAUUAAUGACACAGCAAACAAGAUAGAUAUGCUGGAUUUCGUAUCACAAAAUCACAAGUCGAACACUUCCCAAGCAUUUAGGACUGUGUGAUGUAUUUUCGGAUGAUGCAUGCAGAUCCCAGUAAGGUGGCCUUUUGCAAUUGUCAGAUUGUAAUUUUUUUCAAUGUUUAUUGUUUAUUGUUGGAAAUGUGGUAAGCACACAGGCACCUUUCUACGUAUGUGGUGGGAGUGUAAGAAGAUAAAGAAUUUUUGGCAAGAAAUACAUUAAAUGAUGACAAAAAUUGUACAAAAAAUUGAAUUUAGACCAGAAAGUUUUUUAUUAGGGAUUAUUGACAAACAGAUAGAUAAAAACACAGACAGACUAAUAUUUUAUCUCACCACAGCUGUGAGAAUAGUGCUGGCACAACUAUGGAAAUCAGAAGAUAUACCCAGUAUGGAGAAAUGGCUCAAUAAAAUAAUGGACAUGAUGAAUAUGGACAUAUUAACACAAAAAUUGGCACAGGAUAGAGCACCAGAUAACAAAACAGAUUGGAAACCUAUGAUCGAAUACUUGCAAAAAGAGAAAAUUAACUUUUGUAUAAAGCUGGAUUAAGGAAAUUCCAUGGGAUAAUAAUAUAAAGUUAAGGUAGUUAAAUAGGUGUAACUACAAAACUAAAAGACAGGAAAAACAAAACAAAAGAACCAUAUCUAGAGCUCUGGAAGUAACAAGGAUAUUAAAGCAACUGUAUACGUGUAAAUCAUAAGUUGUAGUUAUGGGUUUUUCUCCUUUUUUUGUUUUUGCUUUUUGGGUGUUUCAAUAUUGUCAUUUAUCUUUUAUGUCAAUGUCACCCUUUAUGUUGAGGUUACUUAACCUGUCUCCCCCCGCCCCCAAUACCCUGAUCUCAUGUAUGUAUUUUAUUAUAUGGAGAAAAUGAGAAUUCUUAUUGUAACAAGAAAUGUGCAAGUUGCUUAUAAACCUCAUAAUAAAAACUAUAUAUGAAAAAAAACCAAAAUAAACAUUGAAAAAAUUACUAUCUGUCAACUGCAAAAGGCCACCUUAAAAUUACAACUAGUACUACUAGUACUACUACUACUACUACUAGCUUGGGUACCCGGCAAUGUCCGAGUUAUUUGAAAAAGGCGUUGUUUAUUUUUGGAUGUUAGGUAAGUGCUCUCUCGAUAAGGAUGAGCUACAUCUCCCAGAUUCCAAGAACAAACACCCCCAAACUCACAGUUGGCCAUGUUGGGUCUGUGUGUCAAGUUUGGUCCCAAUUCCUCUAGAUGCGGGUGAACUACAUCUCUCUGAAAUCAAGUGAGGGGACUGUGUUCAAAGUUGAAUAGUUUCAGUGACAUGGAGGAAUGGGUGUUUCUAUGGACAGUCUCCUAUGCUCUUCUUUUACAAAAUUCUUCUGCAUGAGCCUGGAAGAAUAAUUUUUUUAAAUUAGUGUAAUAAUGAGAACAGCACUAUUGUAAGAUAGCACCACUUUAUUUUCAGUGCAUUUUCAAAACUGUGCUAUUGCUAGAUUUUGAGUGUAACACUGGGAAACAAAGCCUGGGGGAGGAGAUUGUGACAAAGUGGUUUAUAAUAUCACUGGUCUAAUGGAGGGAAGACAGGCAUGGGAAAGACAGACAGUGGCAAAGGGUUUUAAUACCCCCCCCCCACCCCCAAAUGGGAUGAGGGUCAUAGUAAUCUUUCGAUAUUGAGGUUUUCCCUGAUUUAAAAAAAUGUGGGGUGGGUGGGAACUGCACUCAGCCAUGUGAUGGUUCAGAAUGGAGAACAGAAUGGGAGAACAUAAAGUGUCUGAUGGGAUUUGUAAAACAAAAUGAAGUCUUUUAAAACAAAUGGGAAUGAUACGCUUGGCUAAGAAGAUAAUUCCCUCUCCCACACACCUACACACAAACACUUUCUGCAAUGUGUCUGAUAAAGUCCAAAGAGCUGGCCAUAAUCCUUUAACCUCACCUUCUUAGUUGCUGAAACAGAGGAUACUUUGGUUUCUACUCACCAUGAUUUAUGGAAACAGAAAAGAACCUUAAGGGAAUGGUCAUAACUCAAAUGUUGAAGCAGGUGCUUUGCACAUCGCAGUUCACUGGCUUUAUCUCUGGCAUCUCUGCCAUGGGGAAAUUAUCCAAAUGAAAACCUGGAAAGCUGCUGUUGAUAUACUAAAUGGACCCAUAGUCUGAAACAGAAUGUAAGGCAACUUCCCUCAAGGAAGUACUUAAAUCAUAUUAAAUUGGAUUUUUUACAGUACUCUGGUGUAGUCAUACAAGCCACUGGUUUUCAACAGAGUAGUCAUCUAGUUGGUUUUUUAUAAGAAUUUUCAGCUACUAAAAAGGUAAAGGUUUCCCCUUGACAUUAAGUCUAGUUGUCUAGGACUCUGGGGGUUGGUGCUCAUCUCCAUUUCUAAGCCGAAGAGCCGGCAUUGUCCAUAGACGCCUCCAAGGUCAUGUGGCUGACAUGACUGCAUGGAGCGUUGUUACCCUCCCACUGGAGCGGCACCUAUUGUUCUACUUACAUUUGUAUGUUUUCGAACUGCUAGGUUGUCAAAAGCUGGGGCUAACAGCGGGAGCUCACCCCGCUCCCAGAUUCAAACCACUGGUCAGCAAGUUCAGCAGCUCAGCAGUUUCACCCACUGUGCCAUUGGGGGCUCCUAGUGGAAUUAUUAUUUCUGUUUUGUUUCUACUCGCAGCAAUACUAUUACAAUUUUAAUGGCUAUAAUCUUAGUCUUCCCCUAAGCUUGUGACUGCUUUGUAUUCAUGAUCCCUAGGUAGCCCCUAGUUUAGGUGAUGAAUAGAACAUGCGAAAGUCCCCAGACCUCACUUACUGAACAGCUCCCAGUCCGUCCGUCCCCAUAGUCCCAAUGCAACUGGUUUCCAGCCCAAGGAGAAAUUGUAACAGAAUCCUGCUUCUGCCUGUUGUAGUGGAGAAGCACUCAGGGAAGUGAGUGGGAACAUCAGGUGCUUCCAACAAACAAGAGAACAGACGCUAAUUGAUCACAGUGGUUGCUUCCUGGUAAAUAGGGGUUGUGGGAAUUGUGACCGAAUUCAUUACAUAGCAUAACAUUAUGCAUUGAUAACUCACCACCUGGACUCAUGUCCUUACAACUGAUUGUAAAUGAGAAAAACUAUAACAGAAUGCCUAGAAUGAAAAUACAUAAAUGUUCUUCUUAAUAAACUCUCUUGCUUAGGUGUUUCAGUUGACAAAUCAGGAGCAAAUUUCAGUCAUGGAUGCAUGCAACAUAGCCCCAUUUUAUAUUUUUCAAUGACAAGCAGCUUCCAAAAGUUGCAGUUUUGAGAAGCAACCAGCUAUUUUCUAUUUAGCUGUGCCUCUCAUCUGCUUUUCCCUCUCAGGCAAUUCAGGUACAUAAUUUGAGUGGGGGGGGGGG